AUGUACUUCAUUGUUGUUGAUGAUUUAUGGACAGCAUCAGUAUGGGAUAUUAUUAGCCGUGCUUUUCCUUAUGGUGAUUGUUGCAGUAGAGUACUGACAACCACACAGAUUGAAGAUGUAGCACUGGCAUGUUCUGGUUAUGAGUCAGAGUACAUAUUUAACUUGCAACCUCUUAAUAAUGGUGAAUCUCGGAAAUUAUUCUUCGAUACUGUUUUUGGCUCUGAAAGUGAAACUGGUUGUCCUGAGGAGUUCGAAGUAGUUGUGGAUAGGAUUAUCAGGAAAUGUGGUGGUUUACCCUUAUCAACUCUAAAUAUAGCAAGCCUGUUGCUCCCAAGCAAACCAAACCCUGCAUUUCAGCAGUGGGAGAAGGUAGAAAGUUCUCUACCCUCCACUUUGAGGACAAAUCCUACUUCCAGUGGGAUGAAAGAUGUUAUAAUCCUUGUAUAUGAUAAGCUUCCACUUCAUUUGAAGACAUGCUUGCUCUAUGUUGGUAUGUAUCCAGAGGGCUACACGAUCAAUAAGGAUGAUUUGGAGAAGCAAUGGGUUGCUGAAAGUUUUGUCAGUGACGCCGAGCAUGGUUACUUUAACGAGCUUCUCAGAAGAGGCAUGAUCCAACCGGUAGACACUAACUAUCACGGUGAGGUGUUGUCAUGUACAGUUAACCACAUGGUACUGGAUCUUAUCAGGCACAAAUCCAUGGAGGAUAAUUUCAUCAUUACUGUGAACUAUCUUGAAUCAACUAUAGGGCUUCCUGACAAGGCUCGUCGAUCGUCCAUCCAGUUCGGAGGUGCAAAAAGUGCGAAGAUACCGGAAAGCAUCAGAAUGUCCCAAGUCCGAUCGCUUUUCUUCUGUGGAUUCUCUGGAUGUGUACCUUCCAUUCCGGAUUAUGGCCUUCUUCGAGUUCUAAUUCUUCAUAUUUGGGCUGAUCGAGACAGGAUGAGCUUUGACCUCACUGGAAUCGGUGAACUCUGUCGACUGAGAUAUAUCCAGGUUGAAUGUAAUAUCACUGUCAAUUUGCCAGACAAGAUUCAAGGGUUACGAUACUUGGAGACGCUGCAAGUAGAUGGAAGACUAUCUGCAGUUCCAUCAGAUAUUGGAAAUCUGGAGAAAUUACGGCACCUCCUCCUUCCAAGCCAGGCUAAUGUGAGGGACCUUGGCGGGCUGGUUAACCUCCAGGAUCUUCAUCUCACCUGUUCUACAGUACACCAAGUUGAUAAUCUGGAGGACAACAUGAAAUACCUGGGCACAGUUCUCGAGAAACUCAGCAACCUCAAAUCUCUAACUCUGACAUCUUUAGGCUCAUCCCCCGUAAAUACUUCGAGGAUGAGUAUUUCCUGCCAUGGCUUGAGCAGCGUGUCCCCUGCUCCAGCCCAUCUUGAGAGACUUGAGUUACUGCCGUGGAUUUGCAUCUUUCCGAGCCUCCCAAAGUGGUUGGAAACACUCAGCAAACUCUGCAGUCUAAAGGUAGCAGUUAGAGAAUUCUCGAACAGUGACAUUGAUAUCGUGAAAGGAUUGCCUGCCCUCACUGCUCUCUCGCUAUAUGUCCAGGCAGCACCUGCAGAGAGGAUUUUCUUUGGCAAGGCAGGAUUUUCAGCUCUCAAGUACUUCACGUUGAAGUGCAGUGAACCUUUGCUGAAAUUUGAGGCUGGUGCAAUGCCUAAUCUUCAGAAGCUCAAUCUAGUCUUCAGUGCCCAGGAAGUGCAGCAUGGUGCUGCACCUAUCUGCAUCGAGCACCUGGCAGGGCUUAAAGAGAUCUCCGCAAAAAUUGUGGGUGCAGGUGCUACUGGCACAGAGUCUGCCUUGGGGAUUUAUGUUAGGAAUGAUCCAAAAAACCCGAAAAUCAACGAUCAACUGGUGAACUGGAAGUUCUUUGAGGACGAAGAUAGAAUUAUGGCGCCACCAAGGCAUGCAGGACCGAUUAUAGAAGAACUAGGUGAGAUCCUGGAGGAAAACACAGAAUAUGAGUACGAAGGGGAAGAUGAAAACAGACAGCAACCUGAUAGCGGGAUUUCUACGUUACUGGAGUCGCCGCCUGCGCCACCUUGGAGACCCCCUGAUAGGCGAUAUGGCUGGAGAAUCCUCUCUGUGUGGGCCAGGGCCAGGCCCACCAUGAAAACCGGACCCCAGACCACCUUGAAAGCUGCCUAUGAAGGCAGCGACAGCCUCCCCUGGUGGCACCACCUUGCGCCAUCCAACACUGAUAAUGGGCAACUAACGAUUGCUUUCUUCAUCCAGUCCCUAGCUGUUGUGCAAAAUUUCCUUUAA
rnacentral:rRNA from 1 species